GGGCAACCUGCCUGCAAGACGGGGAUAACUCCGGGAAACCGGGGCUAAUACCGGAUAAUACCUUCCUUCGCAUGAAGGAAGGUUGAAAGGCGGCGCAAGCUGCCGCUUGCAGAUGGGCCCGCGGCGCAUUAGCUAGUUGGUGAGGUAACGGCUCACCAAGGCAACGAUGCGUAGCCGACCUGAGAGGGUGAUCGGCCACACUGGGACUGAGACACGGCCCAGACUCCUACGGGAGGCAGCAGUAGGGAAUCUUCCGCAAUGGACGAAAGUCUGACGGAGCAACGCCGCGUGAGCGAAGAAGGUCUUCGGAUCGUAAAGCUCUGUUGUUAGGGAAGAACAAGUACCGUUCGAAUAGGGCGGUACCUUGACGGUACCUGACCAGAAAGCCACGGCUAACUACGUGC
rnacentral:rRNA from 1 species